ACCCUGCUAUUGGCUGGUCACGUGUCUCCCAGAAUCUGGGAGAUAACAAACAAUUUCAAUUAGGGUGGGUACCUAAGUACGUUUUGUCAUUGAGCAAGGAGUGAGCGAAGAAAUAACCCAGAAAUCAUGCAGGAAAUAUUUACAAAAUUGUAUAUUUUAUUUGUCAUGAAGACUAUCAAUGUUACACAACAGUAAAUAUCAAAUUUCAUUGUGCGCAGAAUGUCGGUGAGCAAAGAUAGAUCAGAUUUCAAUAGACAAAUUAUGCUGAUACAGCUCGUCGAAGAAA